rnacentral:rRNA from 1 species
UACAGAGGGUGCAAGCGUUGUUCGGAAUCAUUGGGCGUAAAGGGCGUGUAGGCGGUCUGUUAAGUCAUGUGUGAAAUCCCUCGGCUUAACCGGGGAACUGCGUCUGAUAUUGGAUGGCUAGAGUUUGGGAGAGGGAUGCGGAAUUCCAGGUGUAGCGGUGAAAUGCGUAGAUAUCUGGAGGAACACCGGUGGCGAAGGCGGCAUCCUGGACCAACACUGACGCUGAGGAGCGAAAGCCAGGGGAGCAAACGGG